rnacentral:tRNA from 1 species
UCCCUGGUGGUCUAGUGGCUAAGAUUUAGUGCUUUCACCACUGGGGCCUGGGUUAGAUUCCCAGUCAGGAAA